rnacentral:lncRNA from 1 species
CAGAGCCCUUGCCUGAGGGCCUGGCCUGGCAGCUCUGCUGUUAGAAGCAGGAGGUGUGCAGGGGGUGGGGAGCAGCCCAGCCUCUGUGAUCUUCUCCAUGGCAGGAUCUCCCAGCAGGUAGAGCAGAGCCGGAGCCAGGUGCAGGCCAUUGGAGAGAAGGUCUCCUUGGCCCAGGCCAAGAUUGAGAAGAUCAAGGGCAGCAAGAAGGCCAUCAAGGUGUUCUCCAGUGCCAAGUACCCUGCUCCAGAGCGCCUGCAGGAAUAUGGCUCCAUCUUCACGGGCGCCCAGGACCCUGGCCUGCAGAGACGCCCCCGCCACAGGAUCCAGAGCAAGCACCGCCCCCUGGACGAGCGGGCCCUGCAGGAGAAGCUGAAGGACUUUCCUGUGUGCGUGAGCACCAAGCCGGAGCCCGAGGACGAUGCGCUUUUCAACACCACCGAGAACCUGUCCCAGAGAACUACUUCUAUGUGCCAGACCUGGGCCAGGUGCCUGAGAUUGAUGUUCCAUCCUACCUGCCUGACCUGCCCAGCAUUGCCAACGACCUCAUGUACA